ACUAUGACUCUCUUAAGGUAGC
rnacentral:ncRNA from 3 species